AGUGAACGCUGGCGGUAGGCCUAACACAUGCAAGUCGAACGGCAGCACAGUAAGAGCUUGCUCUUACGGGUGGCGAGUGGCGGACGGGUGAGGAAUACAUCGGAAUUUACUUUUUCGUGGGGGAUAACGUAGGGAAACUUACGCUAAUACCGCAUACGACCUGCGGGUGAAAGCAGGGGAACUUCGGACCUUGCGCGAUUGACUGAGCCGAUGUCGGAUUAGCUAGUUGGCGGGGUAAAGGCCCACCAAGGCGACGAACCGUAGCUGGUCUGAGAGGAUGAUCAGCCACACUGGAACUGAGACACGGUCCAGACUCCUACGGGAGGCAGCAGUGGGGAAUAUUGGACAAGGGGCGCAAGCCUGAUCCAGCCAUACCGCGUUGGUGAAGAAGGCCUUCGGGUUGUAAAGCCCUUUUGUUGGGAAAGAAAAGCAGCAGGUUAAUACCCCGCUGUUCUGACGGUACCCAAAGAAUAAGCACCGGCUAACUUCGUG
rnacentral:rRNA from 1 species